rnacentral:rRNA from 1 species
UACGAAGGGGGCUAGCGUUGCUCGGAAUCACUGGGCGUAAAGCGCACGUAGGCGGAUUGUUAAGUCAGGGGUGAAAUCCUGGAGCUCAACUCCAGAACUGCCUUUGAUACUGGCGAUCUUGAGUCCGGGAGAGGUGAGUGGAACUGCGAGUGUAGAGGUGAAAUUCGUAGAUAUUCGGAAGAACACCAGUGGCGAAGGCGGCUCACUGGACUGGUAUUGACGCUGAGGUGCGAAAGCGUGGGGAGCAAACAGG